rnacentral:lncRNA from 1 species
CUGUAGGUCUAGCUGUAGUGCGUUGAGUUUCAGGCCUUUUUUCUGCAGAUUUCGAAGGAGAGAGCCCUAAGGCGAGCUGGGAAUUUGUCCCACAUGGGCAGCUCCUGGUUGGUUGAGGAUACGCAUUUCAAGGCUUUGACGUCACAAACAGUGUCCUCUGGGCAGCAGUGGAUUUUGUCAUCACAGCAUACAGCCUACAGAAAAUAUGCAUAAUGG